rnacentral:rRNA from 1 species
AUGGGGGACGUGCCGUCGAGGUGGCGAGGGUUGUGCAUGGAAGGUCCAAGCUUCAAGAAGAGCAGCUGCAACAAGAAACUCAUCGGUGCGCGGUACUACGGCGAUCAGCUCGGCUUGGCGGCGCCAAAUGCCUCCCUAGCCAGGGUGGCGCUGUCGACCGGCUCGCCUCGAGAUGACGUUGGUCACGGCACUCAUUGUGCGUCAACAGCCACGGGCGCGAUUGUGGAGGGUGCCGACUACUACGGCUUGGCUUGGGGCGCAGCCAAGGGCGGCGCGCCGGCCGCAUGCGUGGCCUCGUACAAGGUGUGUACCGAGGACGAGAACGGAUGCUCCGGCUCGGCGCUACUCAAGGCCAUCGAUGACGCAGUGAGUGACGGGGUGGAUGUGAUCUCCAUCUCCAUUGGCAAGACCGCUACCGAUACAACGCCAGACCUUCUCACCGAUCCUGUCGCACUCGGAGCAUUCCACGCACACCAGAGGGGCGUCCUAGUGGUCUGCUCGGCUGGCAACGAUGGGCCCGACCCAUCCACUGUCGUCAACUCCGCGCCGUGGAUCCUCACGGUUGCCGCCUCGACCAUCGACCGCGCCUUCCACUCCAGCAUUGUCCUCGGCAACAGGAAGGUCUUCAAGGGUGCUGCCAUAAACUUCUCCAACCGAAGCCUCGACAGAGAGCGCUACCCUAUGGUGUUUGGGGCCCAAGCGGCAACCCGGAGCACAACGGCGUCUAAGGCAAGCAACUGUUAUCCGGGAUCGCUGCGCAAGCGUAAGGUGGCCGGGAAGAUCUUGGUGUGCAUCGGCACAGACUCGAGGAUUACACGGCGGAUAAAGAAGCUUGUUGCGGAGGAUUCUGGGGCGAGGGGGCUAGUGUUGAUCGACGACAAGGCCAUGGAGGCACCGAUCGACACCGCUAGCUUCCCCUUCUCCCAGGUGGGCGCCGUUGCCGGUGCGCACAUACUGCAGUACAUUAAUUCCACCAAGAAUCCGACGGCUGUGAUCCUCCGCACAAAGGACGUCAGGUUGUUCAAGCCUGCGCCCGUGGUGGCGUCCUUCUCAGCGCGCGGCCCUGCUGCCAGCAUCCUCAAGCCCGAUCUGAUGGUGCCCGGGGUCAGCAUCCUCGCCGCGAUGCCGCCCAUGAACAUGGAGGACGUCCCCGCCGGCAAGAAGCCCUCGUCAUUCUCCAUCAAGUCCGGCACUUCCAUGGCUUGCCCGCACGUCGCCGGCGCCGGUGCUUUCCUCAAGUCGGCCCACCCGGGCUGGUCCCCAUCCAUCAUAAGAUCCGCUCUCAUGACCACAGCGACGGUGAGGAACAACCUUGGACAGCCGGUGGCGAGCAGCAGUGGCGCGGUGACCACCGGACACGACAUGGGUGCUGGCGAGAUCCUACCGCUUCGGGCGCUCAGUCCGGGCCUGGUGUUCGACACCACCACAAGGGACUACCUCAACUUCCUCUGCUACCAGGGCUACGAGGACAAGGUCAUCCGCAAGGUCACCGGCGACGCCCAGUUCACCUGCCCGCGUGGCGCACCCUCGCCGGACCUCAUCGCGAAGAGCGUCAACUACCCGUCCAUCUCGGUGCCACGGCUCGCGGCCGGGAAGCCGUUCGCAGUGUCGCGCACCGCCACGAACGUCGGGCAGUCUAACGCGACGUACGCGGUGACCGUCGAGGCGCCGCCGGGCCUCUUGGUGAAGGUGUCGCCUAAGCGGUUGCUGUUCUCUAGGCGAUGGGCCACGGCGUCAUACGAGGUGAGCUUCGCUCAAGCCGGGGCCAGGAAGGGGUACGCGUACGGCGCCGUCACCUGGUCGGAUGGCGUGCACUCGGUCCGGACGCCUUUCGCCGUUAAUGUCGUCUGA